GAGAGGAAACUAUAAGGGCGCAUGGUGGAUGCCUAGGCUUUGAAAGGCGAUGAAGGACGCGGCGUGGCGGCGAAACGCUUCGGGGAGGUGCCAAGCAACCUUUGAUCCGGAGAUGUCCGAAUGAGGAAACUCAGUAGAAAGAAAUUUCUAUUAUCUCUAAGCAAUUAGAGAUGCAAACCCAGGGAAGUGAAACAUCUCAGUACCUGGAGGAAAAGAGACUAAUAAGUAUUUCGUUAGUAGCGGCGAGCGAACGCGAAUCAGCCCAAACCGUAGAAACUAGAUUCUGGAUGCGACAGCAAUGUUGUCUCCAGUAUCUAGUACAUCUACGGGGUUAUAAGACAUUGUUAUUGCGCAAAGCAUAAGAAGUUACAAAUCGUGAAGAUAGCCGAAGCCGCUGGGAAGCGGCGCCCUAGAAGGUGAAAGCCCUGUAGGCGAAAUCGACACGACUUCUACAAUGCUCUUGAGUAGCUCAAGACACGAAUGGCUUGAGCGAAUGUGCCGGAACUAACCGGUAAGGCUACAUACUUUCAAAGACCGAUAGCGAAUAAGUACCGUGAGGGAAAGGUGAAAAGCACCCCGGUAAGGGGAGUGAAAUAGUUCUGAAACCAUGUGUCUACAAAGAGUUGAAGAGGAUUUAUUCCUCGACAGCGUGCCUAUUGAAGAAUGAGCCUGCGAGUUAAUGUAUGCUGCGUUAUGGCUAAGGGGGGAACUCCGGAGCCGAAGGGAAACCGAGUGUGAAUAGCGCGUCUGUAGCAUGCAUUAGACCCGAAGCAAGGUGAGCUACCCAUGAGCAGGGUGAAGGUGCGAGAAAUCGCACUGGAGGCCCGAACCGUUGAGCCGUUCAAAACUCUCGGAUGACUUGUGGGUUGGAGUGAAAAGCUAAUCGAACCUUGUAAUAGCUGGUUCUCUCUGAAACAGCUUUUGGGCUGGCGUCGUAUCUAUUGAGUAGCGGGGGUAGAGCACUGGAAGGAUUAGACAGGGCGCAAGCUCACUAAUCCUAUCAAACUCCGAAUACCGUUACUGUUAUACGGCAGUUAGUACGUGGGGGCUAAGCUCCACCGUACAAAAGGAGAAGAGUCCUAGAUCUCAAGUUAAGGUCCCAAAAUCUACGUUAAGUACAUCACAAGGAGGUGGAGUUUCACAGACAAUGAGGAUGUUGGCUUAGAAGCAGCCAUCAUUGAAAGAAAGCGUAACAGCUCACUCAUCGAGAGACUCUGCGCCGAAGAUAAUCGGGGUUUAAACGUAGUACCGAAGCUGAGGAUGUGCAUGCCCUUCGGGGGGUGCACGUGGUAAGAGAGCGUUCCCAUCUGCAAUGAAGCUAAAGGCGCGAGCCAUGGUGGAGCGUUGGGAAGUGAGAAUGCAGGCACAAGUAACCGCAAUGCGGGUGAGAUCCCCGCACGCCGAAAGAUCAAGGUUUCCUUCGCGAUGGUGAUCAGCGAAGGGUUAGUCGGGCCUAAGGGGAUGGCGAAAGCCGCACCCGAUGGACACAGGGUUAAUAUUCCCUGACCGCGCACUAGGUGAUGGAGGGACGGAGGAAAUAAAUCAACGCGUCUUAUUGGAUUGACGUCCAUAGCCCAAAGAUAUGUAUCGUAGGAAAAUCCGCGGUACGCAGUAUCGAGGGAGUGGGGCAGGGGAGGCUUCGGCCAAGCCGAUGUUGAUGAAGAGCCUUCCAAGAAAAACUUCUAAACUUAACUAGUGUGUCGACCGUACCGCAAACCGACACAGGUGAUCAGCUCGAGUAGAGUAAGGCGAACGAGUGAGUGUGCUCCAAGGAACUCGGCAAAAAAGCGGCCGUACCUUCGGAAUAAGGCCUGCCCAUAGCAAUAUGGGCCGCAGCGAAAGUUUCCCUGGCAACUGUUUACCAAAAACACAGCUCCCUGCGAACUCGUAAGAGGAUGUAUAGGGGGUGACACUUGACCAAUGCCAGAAGGUCAACCACGGUCGUUGCGCAGCACCCAGUAUUCGAAGCUUAGAAGUAUGACUUUUAAGCCCGCUCGGCGGCUCAACUAUAUUCAAAAUUAGUUAGGGUCUCCGGCGUUCGAAUCCUGAGUGCUGCGUGGUGAACUGUGUAAGCCCUGGUGAAUGUCGGCGAUAACUAUAAUCGUCCUAAGGUAGCGAAAUUCCUUGUCUGGUAAGUUCAGACGCGCACGAAUAGUGUAAUGACUGGGGAACUGUCUCGGAGCACAGCUCGGUGAAAAUACAGUACCGGUGAAGAUGCCGGUUACCUGCAGAUAGACGAAAAGACCCCAGAAGCUUUACUGUAGCUUGAUAUUGCGUAUACGAUUGUAUUGCGUAGCAUAGAUGGGAGAGGUUGAAGUCAUGAUUUCGGUUGUGGCAGACUCGUCAGUGAAAUACCAUUCUAUACGAUUGUAUGCGCUAACCGGCAGGCAAACCCUGUCGAGACAGUAUCUGGUAGGCAGUUUUAGUGGGGCGCUAUCCUCCUAAAAAGUAACGGAGGAGUGUAUUAAGGUCCUCUAGGCGCGAAUGGAAACCGUGCCGAUAGCGCAAUGGCAAAAGAGGGCUUGACUGCAAGGCGUAAAUGCCGAGCAGGUGCGAAAGCAGACCAUAGUGAACCGACCGUUGGCAUUAGACGCCGCGGAAGAUUAUCUGACAAAAGCUACUCUGGGGAUAACAGGCUAGUUCCGCCUAAGCGUCCAUAGCGACGGCGGAGUUCGGCACCUCGAUGUCGGCUCAUCUUAUCCCGGGGGUGAAGAAGCUCCCAAGGGUAUGGCUGUUCGCCAUUUAAAAAGAUACGCGAGCUGGGUUCAGACCGUUCAGGAUCUCAUUGCAAAAUGGGGGAUUGGACGAUCUGAACCGUCGAAGUACAAGAAAACUGUUAUAGUCUAGCGAAGUGAGGCAAGAAAAUUUAUUUUCUUUUCGAACGAAGCGACGACUAUAUGAGAUGAUGAAUCUCAUACAAAACAUGUUCGUCUAAAACAAAUAGAAAAGAUAGAACCAACCAACACGGCGGUCUUACUUAGAAAUAGGUAAGAAAAAGCUCAUUGAUAUCGGGAAAAUCCUAACUAGGACGAUUCCGAGGGAAGGUCGCAAGACCGCCCGUAGAGACUACACAUGAGACAUCUUCUGGGUCACUCUAGAUGAUGAAGAUAUAGUCCAUUCCGUUUAGUAAUAAACGAAAAGAAGCGUGAGACAGGUUGGUCUCCUAUCUACUGCAGGCGUCGAUUAUUGAAGAGAUUUGCCCCUAGUACGAGAGGACCGGGGUGAACGGACCACUGGUCUGCCAGCUUUCCUGCCAAGGGAACCGCUGGGUAGCUAUGUCCGGAAAGGAUAAGCGCUGAAAGCAUCUAAGCGCGAAGCCGGCUCUAAGAUGAGUAAUCAUUACGAUCCGUCAGAGAUGAUGACGUUGAUAGGCUUUAGCUGUAAGCGCAGCAAUGCGUUGAGGCGAGAAGUACUAAUCGAUCAAGAUUCCUUUCGU
rnacentral:rRNA from 1 species